CUAGCGACUUCAGAGUUUGAUCCUGGCUCGAGGACGAACGCUGGCGGCGUGCUUAACACAUGCAAGUCGAGCGGGGAUACGAGGGAGCUUGCUCCUGAGUAUUCUAGCGGCGGACGGGUGAGUAACGCGUGAGCAACCUUUCUCUCAGUGGGGAAUAACACAGGGAAACUUGUACUAAUACCGCAUGAGACCACAGAACCGCAUGGUUUAGGGGUCAAAGAUUUAUUGCUGAGAGGUGGGCUCGCGUCUGAUUAGGUAGUUGGUGAGGUAACGGCCCACCAAGCCGACGAUCAGUAGCCGACCUGAGAGGGUGAUCGGCCACAUUGGGACUGAGACACGGCCCAA
rnacentral:rRNA from 1 species